GUCUAUGACCAUGCCACCCUGAACAUGUCCGAUCUCAUCUGAUCUUGGAAGCCAAGCAGGGCUGGGUCUGGUUAGGACUUGGAUGGGAGACUACUUUGGAAUACCAGGUGCUGUAGGUA
rnacentral:rRNA from 1 species